GCUUUUAUAAAUUUUAAAUUUGAUUGUGGUUUGUAAACAGUUAAAAUAAUAUUAUUUAAAUUUAAUUUAUGAUGUGGGCAAUGUAAAUUUACCCCGGUAAUUUGUUAUUUGUAUUAUGCUUGUUCCAGAAUAAUCGGCUAGGCUUGUUAAAUUUAUAUUUUAUUUUGUUUUAUUUACAAUUUUUUUUUAAUAUGUAAAUUUUAAUAAUUUUAGGUUAAAUUUUAAUUAUUAAUUAUUUGUAAUUGUAAUUUUAUAAUUUGUUAAACAAAUUAGAUUAGUACCUAAUUAGUCAAAAGUUAAAAAAGCAGAAGUAAAGUUGUAUUUAAACUGAAAAAAUAUUGGCAGAUUUUCUAAAUUAUCUUUGGAGGUUGAGUAAUAAUUGAGAACCCUCAUUAACUACUUUUAAAAAUUUUAGUCUCAUGUAUGAUCGUUUAUUUUAUACUUAAGGUAUAUAAUAAAAAAUAAUUAUUUAUAAAAAUAGAUAUAUAUUUGGUUUAUGUAAGAGUAAAAUUUGACCUACAAUAAGUUGUGUUUGUGGUUUUAUAAUGUAGUAUUGUAAUUAAAAUGUAAAAGACAGUAAAAAAAUUUUUAUAUUUUUUUGAAGAUUAUUUAGAUGUGGUACAAAUCAUCCAUCAAUUGCCUCAAGGGGAGUAAGUUGUAGUAAAGUAGAUUUAGGGGAACCUGAAUCUAGUAAU
rnacentral:ncRNA from 1 species